rnacentral:rRNA from 1 species
GACGAACGCUGGCGGCGCGCCUAACACAUGCAAGUCGAACGAGCGAGAGAGAGUUUACUUUUUCGAGCGAGUGGCGAACGGGUGAGUAACGCGUGAGGAACCUGCCUCAAAGAGGGGGACAACAGUUGGAAACGACUGCUAAUACCGCAUAAGCCCACGGCUCGGCAUCGAGCAGAGGGAAAAGGAGCAAUCCGCUUUGAGAUGGCCUCGCGUCCGAUUAGCUAGUUGGUGAGGUAACGGCCCACCAAGGCGACGAUCGGUAGCCGGACUGAGAGGUUGAACGGCCACAUUGGGACUGAGACACGGCCCAGACUCCUACGGGAGGCAGCAGUGGGGAAUAUUGGGCAAUGGGCGCAAGCCUGACCCAGCAACGCCGCGUGAAGGAAGAAGGCUUUCGGGGUUGUAAACUUCUUUUAAGUGGGAAGAGUAGAAGACGGUACCACUUGAAUAAGCCACGGCUAACUACGUG